UGCCAGCAGCCGCGGUAAUACGGAGGGUGCAAACGUUGCUCGGAAUUAUUGGGCGUAAAGCGCGUGUAGGCGGUUGACUAAGUCACGUGUGAAAUCCCUGGGCUUAACCCAGGAACUGCGCUUGAUACUGGUCAACUAGAGUACGGGAGAGGGUAGCGGAAUUCCCGGUGUGGAGGUGAAAUUCGUAGAUAUCGGGAGGAACACCAGUGGCGAAGGCGGCUACCUGGACCGAUACUGACGCUGAGACGCGAAAGCGUGGGGAGCAAACAGGAUUAGAUA
rnacentral:rRNA from 1 species